GACGAACGCUGGCGGCGUGCUUAACACAUGCAAGUCGAACGGAAAGGCCCUGCUUUUGUGGGGUGCUCGAGUGGCGAACGGGUGAGUAACACGUGAGUAACCUGCCCUUGACUUUGGGAUAACUUCAGGAAACUGGGGCUCAUACCGGAUAGGAGCUCCUGCUGCAUGGUGGGGGUUGGAAAGUUUCGGCGGUUGGGGAUUGACUCGCGGCUUAUCAGCUUGUUGGUGGGGUAGUGGCUUACCAAGGCUUUGACGGGUAGCCGGCCUGAGAGGGUGACCGGCCACAUUGGGACUGAGAUACGGCCCAGACUCCUACGGGAGGCAGCAGUGGGGAAUAUUGCACAAUGGGCGGAAGCCUGAUGCAGCAACGCCGCGUGCGGGAUGACGGCCUUCGGGUUGUAAACCGCUUUCGCCUGUGACGAAGCGUGAGUGACGGUAAUGGGUAAAGAAGCACCGGCUAACUACGUG
rnacentral:rRNA from 1 species